UACGGGAUGGUGUAAUGGUAGCACAUGGGUUUUUGGUACCUUUAGUCGGGGUUCGAGUCCCUGUCCCGUAG
rnacentral:tRNA from 1 species